rnacentral:rRNA from 1 species
GAUGAACGCUGGCGGCGUGCUUAACACAUGCAAGUCGAACGGAAAGGCCCAAGCUUGCUUGGGUACUCGAGUGGCGAACGGGUGAGUAACACGUGGGUGAUCUGCCCUGCACUUCGGGAUAAGCCUGGGAAACUGGGUCUAAUACCGGAUAGGACCACAUUUUGGAUGGUGUGGUGGAAAGUUUUUCGGUGUGGGAUGAGCUCGCGGCCUAUCAGCUUGUUGGUGGGGUAAUGGCCUACCAAGGCGUCGACGGGUAGCCGGCCUGAGAGGGUGUACGGCCACAUUGGGACUGAGAUACGGCCCAGACUCCUACGGGGGGCAGCAGUGGGGAAUAUUGCACAAUGGGCGCAAGCCUGAUGCAGCGAAGCCGCGUGGGGGAUGACGGCCUUCGGGUUGGAAACUCCUUUCGCUAGGGACGAAGCGUUAUGUGACGGUACCUGGAGAAGAAGCAACGGCUAACUACGUG